GACCCCCUUAUGCAGGGACCUGAGAGUCUGGCCCCCUGGCUCGGGACGGCCCUGGCCACCCCCGCCUGUCCUCUCCCCACACCUCCCCUUCAGGUUCCUACCACCCAGACCUCUGUGGGCCGUCAGCUCUCCCGGCCUGGGCUCCGGGACGUCCCCCACUCCCACAACCGGCUUCCUCCAGCCACUCCGGCAGCCAGACCUCACACAGCCUUGCCCGUGUGCGCCUGCACACCAGCUCUGGCGGACCCUCCUUGGCUCCCCACCCAGACCUCCCCCCUCACGGAGCUACCUGGAUCGGAGGUGCGUCAGGACCGCGGCAGGUAGCCUGCCCGGCUGCUGCCAUGUCCGCCAUCCGCUUCUCCAUCUGCUCUAGCCGCUCCAGAAUGGACAUUCGGAACUGGUUGUCUGAGGGGGAAGAGAACGCACAGGCACGCGUGCACACGCCAGGCUCCGUCUGGGCCCUCCUGAGAUCACACGAGGACAAGGAGGGGAGGCAGGAGGGGACUGGAGCCACCGGAAAACAGGCAUGAAGCAGGGCAGAGGUCGUGGAUGUCCCGCCUGAGAUGCCAGGGCGGAAGGGGCUCAGGGCCUAGAGGGGACGGUGGGGGGGAGGGCGGACCCCGAGCAGAAGGGUCGACAAGGUGAAGGAGAGGAGGGGCAGGACCGCGGGGAGAUGAGCCAAGCAAGCAGCACAGAAGGGAAGGAGGCACAGUGCAACCAGGAAGCAGGGGGAGGGAGGAGCCCCCGCCUCCAGAUAGCAGGGCUUUGGGAGGGGGCCCCCCAGGGGUGACACAGCAGGGGCAUGACGGAGGGAGGGAGGGAUGGAGGUGAGCUCAGCAGGGGCAGCAGCGCAGCGGGGAGAAACCCGGAGGAGGAGACCCCGAGCUGGACGCGGGGGGCCGUGGGGACACCGCACUGGGAGGCACGGGGAGGAGAACCAGGGAAGGAACACACACAGUUCUCGAUUUAAGCACACGUACGUGUGCGCGCGCGCCUGCUUGUAUAGGAAAAUGUACUAAAGCGUAUUAAAGAUGAGUGUCACCGGGGGGUGAUAUGGUCAAUUUUCUACUUUACGCUUCUCUGUUAUUUGCCAAAUUUCUCACGGCAAACGCCUGUCCUCAAAAGUAGAGGGAAAAACAGCAAGGAAAUUGCAAUACGCACAUCAGUACACACGUGUGCGUGUGCGCACCACGCACACCCAUGUACACCGCACGUACACUGCUCCUGGCCCCGCCUGCCUACGGCCCGUCUGUGGGACAGAGGACAGGCCAAGGGCUGGGGCAGAGAUGGCUCCAAGGUCUCCGGGGGCGAGAACAGGAGGGACAGUCGCUGCCGCCUUUAGAACUGACCCAUGACG